rnacentral:rRNA from 1 species
GAUGAACGCUGGCGGCGUGCCUAAUACAUGCAAGUCGAGCGAACAGAUGAGGAGCUUGCUCCUCUGACGUUAGCGGCGGACGGGUGAGUAACACGUGGAUAACCUACCUAUAAGACUGGGAUAACUUCGGGAAACCGGAGCUAAUACCGGAUAAUAUAUUGAACCGCAUGGUUCAAUAGUGAAAGACGGUUUUGCUGUCACUUAUAGAUGGAUCCGCGCCGAAUUAGCUAGUUGGUAAGGUAACUGCUUACCAAGGCAACGAUGCGUAGCCGAACUGAGAGAGUGAUCGAGGACACUGGAAGGGAAACAGGAACCGAAGAACUAUGAGAGCCAGCAAAAGAGAAUAAACAGCGAGGGGCGGAAGCAAAAGGGAGCAAAGCAGCGUGAGAAACAACGGUCUUAGGAGCGUAAACAGCUGUAAUUAGGUGAAAACAAAUAAGAAAGCAACUAUGACCGGCAUGACGCGACAAAAUAACAAAGCAACGGCUAACUAAUGG